rnacentral:rRNA from 1 species
UACGAAGGGUGCAAGCGUUACUCGGAAUUACUGGGCGUAAAGGGUGCGUAGGUGGUUGUUUAAGUCUGCUGUGAAAGCCCCGGGCUCAACCUGGGAAUGGCAGUGGAUACUGGACAGCUAGAGUGCGGUAGAGGGUAGUGGAAUUCCCGGUGUAGUGGUGGAAUGCGUAGAUAUCGGGAGGAGCACCAGUGGCGAAGGCGGCUUCCUGGACCGGUUCUGACACUGAGGAGCGAAAGCGUGGGGA